ACGCACGCUGGCGGCGUGCUUAACACAUGCAAGUCGCACGGAAAGGCCCUGCUUUUGUGGGGUGCUCGAGUGGCGAACGGGUGAGUAACACGUGAGUAACCUGCCCUUGACUUUGGGAUAACUUCAGGAAACUGGGGCUAAUACCGGAUAGGAGCUCCUGCUGCAUGGUGGGGGUUGGAAAGUUUCGGCGGUUGGGGAUGGACUCGCGGCUUAUCAGCUUGUUGGUGGGGUAGUGGCUUACCAAGGCUUUGACGGGUAGCCGGCCUGAGAGGGUGACCGGCCACAUUGGGACUGAGAUACGGCCCAGACUCCUACGGGAGGCAGCAGUGGGGAAUAUUGCACAAUGGGCGGAAGCCUGAUGCAGCAACGCCGCGUGCGGGAUGACGGCCUUCGGGUUGUAAACCGCUUUCGCCUGUGAUGAAGCGUGAGUGACGGUAAUGGGUAAAGAAGCACCGGCUAACUACGUG
rnacentral:rRNA from 1 species